rnacentral:lncRNA from 1 species
UUUUACCUUUAAGUGUAUACGUAGUAGAUUUUUUUUAUACAUAUAUACAAGUAGAAGAUACAACUAAAACACAAAUAGCGCUACAGUAAUCACAUCAACAACAAACACAAUGGUAUCAUAACAUAAUAAAUUGGUAAAUUACAAAGUCACUAGGUGUCUAAAAUAAAACAGUUGUGCUAAUACAAACAAUUUGAAGGCAAAAUGUAUAAACAUUGAAAAAAGUUGACAAAUUUAUGACAAAUCUGGCUUAGGAUUUUGUAUACACGUUUGGAGUGAUUGAUUACAAGGAGAAAAUUAUCAGGCAUGAAAUCGGACUAUUAUUAUUGUUACAAAAUAAUUUCUAACAAAAUCUAAUCACUAUUAAAUAUUAUAGAAUAUAUAAACAUGUUCACAUAAAAUCAAUAGGAAUAGUUAGUAAUGGAAUAAAUGAAUAAGUGGAAGAAAAUGAAAUAACUAUGAAACAAUGUCCCAGGUUAGGGGAGGGUUGAGGGCUCACAAAUAAUUUUAACCCCGCCACAUUCUGUAUGUGCCUGUCCCAAGUCAGGAGCCUGUAGUUCAGUGGUUGUCGUUGGUUAAACGUCUGUCAUAUUUGUUUUUCAUAAAUUAUGCCGUUCGUUUUCUCAAUUGAAUUGUUUCAUAUUUGUCAUGUUGGAGCCUUUUAUAGCCGACUUUACGGUAUGGGUUUUUCUCAUUGUUGAAGCCCGUACAGUUGCCUAUAAUUGCUUACCUCCACUUUAUUUGAACUUUGGUGGAUAGUUGUUUAAUUGACAAUCAUAUCAUAUCUCCUUAUUUUUAUAUACAAAUUUUGAUAUUGGCGAUGAAAGGAAAAGGGGGUUAAAUUUUGUAAAACUGACAAUGAAUAUUGAAAUUUAAAUUUUACACACUCGACUCCUUCAAAUUAUUAACAGACGUACAACAAAAAAAAAACUCAUUAAAGAUUCCAGGCUUAUCAUUUUGAGCGUCAUUGUAUUUUUCGUUUACAAAAAAGUAAAAUAUCAGAAAUACAAGGAAAAUUCAAAACGAAAAAUUCCCUUAUCAAAGGGCAAAAUCAAAAGGUCAAACACAUCAAACGAAUGGGAAGUCAUAUUCCUGACUUGGUUCAGGCAUUUCCUUAUGUAGAAAAUGGUGAAGUAAACCUGGUUUUAUAGCUAGCUUAACCUCUCACUUGUAUGACAGUCGCAUAAAAUUCCAUUAUAUUGACAACAAUGUGUGAACAAAACAAACAGACAUGAUAGAUAAAAUAUUUAAAUGUAAAAAAUAGGGGUACAGCAGUCAACAUUGUGUUAUAAUCUUAAUCACUAUAAAAAAAGACAAAUAUGUCAACAAAGAAAAUAAAAUGGCAUAUAGACCAAAGCGCAUAGGCAAAAAUAUACAAGAAUACAAAAAUGACCAUAGCAAAAUAACACAAUGGCGGGAUGUUUAAGUACUGAGCCACACCAAAAGAUCCCAAAAGGGUAUUACAAAAAAAGGGCUAAACAGUAAAAGUAAUUUACGAAGACAAAAAAAGGAACACUACAACACAUAAUUAGGAUGAUAAACAACGUCAGUGACUAAAAUUUAUACUUCAAGACCAUCAUGUAUUAUUUGUGCAGUUGAAUAUGUAUCAACAAGGUCUUGGUAUCUUCUGAAGAACUUUAGCAAAAGACUCAUCAGUGACGAUCGAAAAAAAAAUGUUAAAAAGGCAAGCAGGAAGUUGUAUAGCAUUGCGCUAAAACACCACCAAACAACACAUGGUGCAGAUAGCCUGACUUGAAAGAGGCCAAACAUUUGCUUGGUAGUAGGUUUUCAAAUGUUUUUUGACAUUUGAUAUGUUCUCAACUAUUUGAAAAUAUAAUAUAACCAAACAAUUAUCACUGAUCUGUUUGGAUUUAAAAUCCUUUUUUCUGAUGGAUAAAAGAUAAGUUCAUUUGACAGAACAGAUGCGUUAUGUCAAAAACAUUCGUUGUGAAAUACC